GGAAGGCAGCCGGAUACGGCUCGCCGGGCCGGUUUGCUACACCGUGCGACCCCUCGGGGUCAUGAGGGUUCGACUCCCUCGCCUUCCGC
rnacentral:tRNA from 1 species